GAUGAACGCUGGCGGCGUGCCUAAUACAUGCAAGUCGAGCGAACGGACGAGAAGCUUGCUUCUCUGAUGUUAGCGGCGGACGGGUGAGUAACACGUGGAUAACCUACCUAUAAGACUGGGGUAACUUCGGGAAACCGGAGCUAAUACCGGAUAAUAUUUUGAACCGCAUGGUUCAAAAGUGAAAGACGGUCUUGCUGUCACUUAUAGAUGGAUCCGCGCUGCAUUAGCUAGUUGGUAAGGUAACGGCUUACCAAGGCAACGAUGCAUAGCCGACCUGAGAGGGUGAUCGGCCACACUGGAACUGAGACACGUUCCAGACUCCUACGGGAGGCAGCAGUGGGGAAUCUUCCGCAAUGGGCGAAAGCCUGACGGAGCAACGCCGCGUGAGUGAUGAAGGUCUUCGGAUCGUAAAACUCUGUUAUUAGGGAAGAACAUAUGUGUAAGUAACUGUGCACAUCUUGACGGUACCUAAUCAGAAAGCCACGGCUAACUACGUG
rnacentral:rRNA from 1 species